ACCUUUCCUGGAAUAGAAAGUGAAAACACUAACGUGAAAAAUCAUGCAAGUCGGACCGUAAAAUGACAUGGGUGGAUGUUUGCACCAGUGGCAUUUGAAUGCUUGGAGAGGAACUGGCACAACUCCGGUUCCCUUCACGAGAACCGUUCACCGCUCGAGCCCAGCUGGUAAACGUAAAGUACGGGUCGCUGAUCGCAGGCGAUGCCGUUGCAUUCGAAUGGCUUUGGGUCGGAUUUAUUGAAUAGUUUUAUUUAACAAAUACAACCUAGGAAGUAGCCACCUGCUUAUGUUUAUUGCAGAAAAAGAAACCAAAGGCUGCAUUCAGCAGGAAAAGGACUUCGGAGGAAGCAGCCACCUCGAACGGGGCAUCUCCAGCCCUCCUGGGCGUACCCUGCGGUACCCGGGACCGGUGGGGGGGUCCAGGGAGCAACGUGGGGCUCAGGCAGCCAAGACACGGGCUCUGAUCUCCACGCUGGGUUGAAGUCCCUGAAUUAAAAUUGCUUGUAAACACACAAUCAUCAGGAGGCAGAACGUGCUCGCACCUCCGAGGUGAAGAAUUAUUGUGCUCGUGUAUAUUGGAUCUGCUACGACUUUAUUACAAGACGUUUACCAGCGAACCUGAAUUCUGGUCACUCAGUGUAUCUAUCAUACAAUACUCUGUUCUUCUCGUCCUCUUCGUUCCAGCAGGAGCAAGGUCUAGGUGCAGCGAGCCAGUAAUUAGAGUGAGAAGGAAAACAAAGCUUUUAAGGAGAUGCUCGAUGCUUUGCAGGAUGAAAACCAGUUUGCAGAGAGGCUGCGCUGAUCCAUCUGCACGGAGCUUGUUGCAGGGUUGCGACCCUCGUCACAGAAAGGAACAG